rnacentral:rRNA from 1 species
UGCGUAGGCGGAUGUUUAAGUCUGUUGUGAAAUCCCCGGGCUCAACCUGGGAAUGGCAUUGGAUACUGGGCAUCUAGAGUGUGGUAGAGGGUAGUGGAAUUUCUGGUGUAGCGGUGAAAUGCGUAGAUAUCAGAAAGAACACCAAUGGCGAAGGCAACUACCUGGGCCAACACUGACGCUGAGGUACGAAAGCGUGGGAGCAAACA